rnacentral:rRNA from 1 species
CCUACGGGUGGCAGCAGUGAGGAAUAUUGGUCAAUGGACGUAAGGCUGAACCAGCCAAGUCGCGUGAAGGAAGAAGGAUCUAUGGUUUGUACACUUCUUUUAUAGAGGAAUAAAGGUAUGCACGUGUGGAUUUUUGCAUGUACCCUAUGAAUAAGCCUCGGCUAACUCCGUGCCAGCAGCCGCGGUAAUACGGAGGAUGCGAGCGUUAGCCGGAUUUAUUUGGGUUAAAGGGAGCGUAGGUUGUUUUUUAAGUCAGCUGUGAAAGUUUGUGGCUCAACCAUAAAAUUGCCUUUGAAACUGGAAGACUUGAGUGUAUUUGAGGUAGGCGGAAUUCGUGGUGUAGCGGUGAAAUGCAUAGAUAUCACGCAGAACUCCGAUUGCGAAGGCAGCUUACUAAGCCAUAACUGACACUGAAGCACGAAAGCGUGGGGAUCAAACAGGAUUAGAUACCCCAGUAGUC